GACUGUUUGACUUCCACUGGGAAUUUGGGGGCCAAGGGAGGGGGUUGUAGGUCGAAUUCGUAUGUUAGUAUUUCCACUGGGGGCCUGGUUUCUCUCGAAAGCUGGGCAGGAAAGGGUUCGCAUGGCUCUGUGCUUGCAAAUUCGUGACUCUGCCUCCUGCGGAGUAGCCGAGUCUCCUGAGUUCCCAAUUAAACUAUUUGGGCAGGAGAUUUGAAGAUGAAGAUCUUAAUUUCAGCGGCUUAUACACAGAGGAGGGGAAAAGGAUAAGACACAAACCUUGGGGAAAAUCCACAUCUGGAUGAAGAUGAACCCGCAGGAGAGAGAAGACAAGCAGAGAAGUAGGAGAUCAGCCCUGAGCUAACAUCUGCUGCCUGUCCUCCUCUUUUUGCUGAGGAAGACUGGCUCUGAGCUAACAUCCGUGCCCAUCUUCCUCUACUUUUUAUGUGGGAUGCCUACCACAGCAUGGCUUGCCAAGCGGUGCCGUGUCUGCACCCGGGAUCCGAACCGGCGAACCCCAGGCCGCUGAAGCAGAACAUGUGAACUUAACUGCUGCGCCACCGGGCCGGCCUCAAAAAAUGUUUUUGAAUCUGGUUCUUCCUUUAUGUGUAUUUUUUCCCUUGAUAAUAAGUUUAUUGAAUUUAUCCAGUGACACUCUAAUUGCCAAGUCCUAGAGUCUUUUCAAAGUUCCUUGGCAUAUAUGAUCUAUGUAGUCUUAGGCAUUCAUUUACCUCUAAACUCAGAGUGAAGAGCUCAGUGGAGAAGUUGAAGUUGGAUAUCAAAGUGUCAAACGAGGCAUUAUGAUAAAAAGCUUAAAAUAUCCAAUGAAUCCCUAUAACAGCCUAAAGGGAUUAUCAUUAUCUCCAUUAAAAAUUUUAAUCAUGUUUAAUUUAGGAACACUGCACAUAGAUAAAGAUGGAAAAUAUCAUCAGUUUUGACAUGUGUACACCCAUUGUCUUAGUCUCUUUGGGCUUCUGUAACAAAAUACCAUAGACUGGGUGUCUUAUUAACAACAGAAAUUUAACUUUCACAGUUCUGGAGGCUGGAGAGUCCAAGAACAAGGGACGACCCUCUUUUCGGUUUCAUAGCUGAUGCCUUCUAGCUAUGUAGUCACGUGGUUGAAGGGGCAAGGAGCUGUUUAGAGUCUCUUUCAUAAGAGCACUAAUCUCAUUCAUCAGGGUUCCACCCUCAUAAUUUAAGCACCUCCCAAAGGCCCCACCUCCUAAUACCAUCCUCUUUGGGGAUUAAGAUUUCAAAACACAAUUUUAGGGGGACACAUUACACCUCAGCACCCAUUAAACCGUCACCACAAUCGAGAUAACAAUCACAUCACCGCCAAAAGUUCUCUUGUGCCCUUUUGUAAUCCAUCUCUCCCUCCAACUCCAUCCCCAGGCAACCACUUUCUGUCAAUAUAGAUUAGUUUGCAUUUUCUUGAAUUUUAAAUAAAUGGAAUCAUACCGUAUGUUCUUUUUUGGGGGGCUUCUUUGACUCAGCAUAAUUUUGCGAUUCAUCCUUGUGGCUUGUAUCAGCAGGUUGUAUUUGUUUUUUUAAAAUUACUGAAUGGUAUUCCUUUGUGUGAAUUUACCACAAUUUGUUUAUCCAAUCAUCUGUUGAUAGGCGUCUGGAUUUGUAAUUUUGGGUUAUUCCAAAUAAAGCUGCUAUGAACAUUUGUGUACUA